GAGUUGGUAGUUAAAAGAUAACAUUAAGUUGCAAACUUAAAGAUGGGCUACCCCUAACUCU
rnacentral:tRNA from 1 species